AAGAAGUUCCCGGUCCAGGGAUUGAACCUGUGUCACAGCAGUGACCCGAGCCAGUGGAUAUCGCCGGAUCCUUUUUUGUUUGUUUGUUCGGUUUUGGUCUUUUUAGGGCCACACCCACAGCAUUUGGAAUUUCCCAGGCUAGGGGUUGAAUCUGAGCUACAGCUGCUGGCCUACACCACAGCCACAGUAAUGCAGGAUCCAAGCUGUGUCUGCGACCUACACUGCAACUCACAGCAAUGCCAGAUCCCUUGCCUAACCACUGAGCGAGGCCAGGGAUUGAAUUUGUGUCCUCAUGGAUACUAGCCAGAUUAGUUACUGUGGAGCUGCGACAGGAACUUACCCCCUGCCCUUUUUUAGGAGAACCUUUUUAUUAUUUCCAUUUUUAAAGGAGAAAAAUAAAACACAGAGUUUAAAUGAUUUUUUGAGAUCACAUAACUAAGGAUGAUGCCAGAAUGGACUCAGCAAUCAGACUCCAGAAUCCUUUGAUACUAUACUCUCUAGGUCUAGUCUAUAUUUGGCUUCAAAAAGGCAUAUACAUCUAAGGAUCAUGAUAAAAUUGCAAAUGAAUUACAGGUACUGUAAAAUCAAACUAUAAAUUAUGAAGGCAAAUGUAUCCGUAUUUUGAAUAUAUCUUUACGAAUCCUUUCUUCUCUUACAGUCAAUGUCAUUUUAUCCUUGUCUCCAAAUAUCACCUUGUGAAAAGCAAAUCUGAAAUAAUACACAUUAAAAAGGUAUAUAACGCCAGAUCCUAACUCUGAACUACCAGGGAACUCCUCUGAGUAAAACACUUUUUGCAAAUAAAAACAGGGGAAAAAAUUAUCUUUCUUUUUUAUUGGCUUGCUUUAAAAAAGCUAUAAACAUAUAUUAGAAGCAACAAUUAUUAAAAAUUAUAAUAAGCUGGACUUCCUAUCGUGGCUCAGCAGUUAGCAAACCCGACUAGCAUCCAUGAGGACACGGGUUCGAUCCCUGGCCUCACUCAGUGGGCUAAGGAUCUGGCAUUGCCAUGAGCUGUGGUGUAGGUUGCAGACACGGCUCAGAUCUGGCAUUGCUGUGGCAGUGGUGCAGGCCAGCAGCCGUGGUUCCCGUUAGACCCCUAGCCUGGGAUCUUCCAUAUGCCGUGGGCACGGCCCUGAGAAGCAAAAACAAACACAAAAAUUUACUGCAUAAACUCUGCCUGAAUCUCUGGUUGAUCCCUGAAACUCAACUGCAUCAAGUAGAUGCCAAGCAGCCCAGCUAAGGCCAAAGGAACUUAAAGGCUGCCCUUGAGAGAAUUAAAAAAUUUGGAGCAUCAGUGGUUAAUGAACCCAGCUAGUAUUCAUGAGGACAUAGGUUUGAUCCCUGGCCUGGCUCAAGUGGGUAAGGAUCCAGCGUUGCUGUGAACUAGGGUGUAGGUUGCAGGCUCGGCUCAGAUCUGGUGUUGCUGUGGCUGUGGUGUAGGCUGGCGGUUGCAGCUCCACUUGGGCCCCUAGCCUGGGAACCUCCAUAUGCCAUGGGUGCGGGCCUCAAAACAAAUAAACCAACAAACAAACCAAAAACAUUUCAGUACGUGUAUUGUAAUCCCUAAAAAAGAAUACGGAAGUAUAGCCAGAAAGCCAAAAGAAAACAUCAAUAAAAAUUUUUCAAUUAACCCAAAGACAGCAAAAAAGGAGGAAUAGGGCAACAAAAAACAAGAGAACAAACAGAAAAUAAAUAGUAAAAUGGUACCUGAACGUUAUCAUAACUACAGCACAAUAAAGCAGCAUUUCCCAACAUAAAUUGUCAUGGAGUAAAUGUUGCAAGAAGGCAGCCAUCUGCCACCCAGGAGGUGGGCCCUCGCCAGACACUGAAUCCACGGCCCCCCUGCCCCCCUCCCCUAGAUGUUGGACGUCUCAGAUUCCAGAACUGUGACAAAUAUUUAUUGUUUCAGCUCCCCAGUGAAGGCUAACUAGUUAGAGCAGUGUUAGCGAAAGUCCGUGUGCCCCCCAUACACCGAAGCCGUAAGAACCAAAAUGUAAGCUUGGAGCAGAGAAGAGUUGAUUACAUGGCCAUGCGAGGAGAGAGGGUGGGGUGUGGCCCCCAAACAGCUCAAACUCUCUGAACCAAAAUUGCAAAGUAUUUUUAAAGGCAAGGUGAGGGAGGAGCGGGGUUGGUUGUUGCAAACUUCUUGGUGCAGAAGUCCUUUGUUCUUGUAGCUGUCCUCGGGGGUUAGGUCACAUGUUCCUAUAAACCUCCAACAAGACACAUGUGUGCUGCCCUGGUACAAGUUUAGGAAACACUGGGAUAAACAAAGUUAAACAAGUUGUUUGUUUGUAUUUUUUUAGAGCAGAGCCUCUCAUCCUUUAAUGUGCAAAUAUACACUGGGUCGCUCCAGGGUUUGUACCACCCAAGCCCUGUACCUUUAUAUCCUCAUUCGGGAUUAGUUUUUCACAGAAAAACUAAUGAAUACUUUUGGCAAUGCUAUUAUAAAGUCUCAGCCAGCAAUGAUCUCAUUCAUGCAGUUCCUGCCAAUAUGGUCAUUUGCAUAAGAAGUGGUAUGAGAUAUACUGGCAGAUUUAAACACAUACACAAACACAUAUGUCCAUUAAAAUGUUUUCGUUUUCUACUUUUCAUUCAAUUAAAGAAGAAUGAAGCCACGGAAACAGAUACCAAAAUGCAAAAUAACAAAUCUAUCUCUAGUUCUGCUGUUAGCCGUUCACAAGUCCCAUUGAGGAAAGAAAAAAUGGAAGAGAAGCAACAACAGAGCUGAGAAUGCAUUUCCCACAUGCUCAGCCAAGCAGUGCAUUUCUUCAGUCUUAAUCCACACCGAUUCGCC
rnacentral:lncRNA from 1 species